rnacentral:rRNA from 1 species
AUUGAACGCUGGCGGCAGGCUUAACACAUGCAAGUCGAGCGAGCGGCGGACGGGUGAGUAAUGUCUGGGAAACUGCCUGAUGGAGGGGGAUAACUACUGGAAACGGUAGUUAAUACCGCAUACCAUCAGAUGUGCCCAGAUGGGAUUAGCAAGUAGGUGGGGUAAUGGCUCACCUAGGCGACGAUCCCUAGCUGGUCUGAUAGGGUGACCAGCAACACUGGAACUUCGACACGGUCCAUCCGCCUACGGGUGGCAACAGUGGGGAAUAUUGCACAAGUGGCGCAAGCCGUAUACAGCCAUGCCGCAUGUGUGAAAAAGGCCUUCGGGUUGUAAAGCACUUUCAGCGAUGAGGCGUUGCUCGCAGAAGAAGCACCGGCUAACUCCGUGCCAGACGCCGCGGUAAUAC